AACAAACGCUGGCGGCGUGCCUAACACAUGCAAGUCGUACGAGAAAGGGUCCUUCGGGAUCUGAGUAAAGUGGCGCACGGGUGAGUAACGCGUGGAUAAUCUACCCUUCAGUUGGGAACAACUCAUCGAAAGGUGGGCUAAUACCGAAUAACACUGCAAGACUUUGGUCGAGCAGUCAAAGAGAGCCUCUGCUUGCAAGCCCUCGCUGAAGGAUGAGUCCGCGUACCAUUAGCUAGUUGGUGGGGUAAUGGCCCACCAAGGCCGUGAUGGUUAGCUGGUCUGAGAGGAUGGCCAGCCACACUGGAACUGAGAUACGGUCCAGACUCCUACGGGAGGCUG
rnacentral:rRNA from 1 species